CUCAAAACUUGAAGAGAUGCCCGAGUCCAUUGGACUUCUAACUCACCUUAUUCUGUUGAAUUUGCAAAACUGUGAGAAACUUGAGAACCUUCCAGGAAGCAUUGGCAAUCUAAAAUCUCUNNNNNNNNNNAAACAUGUCAGGCUGCUCCAAACUUGAGCAGUUGCCCGAGUCCACUGGAUUUCUAACAUGCCUCACUUCAUUGAAUUUGCAUGAUUGCGAGAACCUUAAGAGUCUUCCAGGG
rnacentral:misc_RNA from 1 species